rnacentral:rRNA from 1 species
UACGAAGGGGGCUGCGUUGCUCGGAAUCACUGGGCGUAAAGGGUGCGUAGGCGGGUCUUAAGUCAGGGGUGAAAUCCUGGAGCUCCAACUCCCAGAACUGCCUUUGAUACUGAAGAUCUUGAGUUCGGGCGAGGUGAGUGGAAGCUGCGAGUGUAGAGGUGAAUCGUAGAUAUUCGCAAGAACACCAGUGGCGAAGGCGGACUCACUGGCCCCGAGUACGUGACGCUGAGGCACGGAAACGCGACUGGGG